GGGCUUGCUUGAUGCCAGAAUAGACCCUUCUUAGUCCUGACCUCUAUAGAGGCACUUACCAGGUGUAGGUAGCCUCUGGGAUGCCCCCGACCCCUAGAGCUGGUUCAUGAGUAUGGUGUGUAUGGUGGACCCUCCACCCUGCUCUGGUGUAUCUCCUCAGCCUGAUUUCACAAGUGCCUGCCUUGUGACUGUCCCUCUAGGGACAACUGCAGCUCCUCCUGUACUUCUUUGCUGGGGUCUGCCUUCAGUUCCUAGUUUUCCAACCCUCUCUCCUUAAGGAGGAGGGGAUGAUCGUAUGAAGGGCACUCAUGAGCCAGGCUAUGCUCUGUAGCAGCGACAGUGACCUGACUGGCAGAUUUUCACUCUACAGACAUGUGUUUUCAUUUCAGCCACGUCUAAUGUAGGCCAGACCACUGUCCUCUAGGCCCCAAGAUCCUGCCGUCCAAGGUUUAGUUACAGACCAGCCCCCUUCCUCCCUGCCCCCGCCUCUGUGUGUGUGUGUGUGUGUGUGUGUGUGUGUGUGUGUGUGUGGUAGAGUCCGGAUGGUUUUCUCUUAAGAUUUAUUAUUUACUAUGUGUCUGUGUGAGUGAUUGCCAAAUGUGUUUAGGUGCCUGCAGAGGCCAGAAGAGGGUGUUGGAUCCCCUGAGGUUAUAGGUGUUUGAAUGCUUAGUUGGGUGCUAAGAACUGAACUUGGGUCUUCUGCAAGAGGAGCAAGGAAGUACCCUUUUCCUGAGCCACCUCUCCAGCUGUUUUUUGCCCAUUUGUUUAUAAAUAUAAUGGAUUUUAUUUUUGAGAAUUUUAUGCACAUAUACAAUGUAUUUUUUUUUACCAUAUUCACCCCCACUGGUCUCCCUAACCUCCCCCAUAUUUACCCCACUUCCAACUUUGUGUCUUCUAAAAAAUAAUAAAUCUAAGCCACUGAGUCCAGCUGCACUGUGCACACAUCUAUGGGUACAAUGCUGUCCACUACGGCGUGCUGGACCUCUCAGAAGCCUCAGCUUUUUCCUUAAAGGAAAAUAACUCUCCUCCCCCAGCAGUGAGGGGCAAUCAAAAGCUCAUCAGCACCUGUGGGUGGGGUGGAGGGCCCCACCCCCUGGGUUAACUGGGUUUUGCACAGGUCUUGUGCAGACAACCACAGCCAAGCUGCUGGGAGCGCAUGUGCCCUGGCUUGUGCAGGGGACGCUUGCACUCCAGAUCAUCCAACGCUGGCUCUUAACAUCUUUCCAACUCCUCCUCUUCAGUGUUUCUUGAUCUUUGGUGUGUGUGUGUGUGUUUGUGUGUGUGUGCGCGCACACGAGUGUGUGCUCAAGGGUGUACAUAAGGUAGGGUGUUGUAUUACGGAGUCGUAUUAGUAGUCCUUCCUUCUAUUGGUCAGAAAAGAGUCACAUGGUACCAACUAGCUCCAAGGGAGGCUGGAUGUGUAUGUAGUUCUUCGAAGCUAAAGGAACAAAUGACCUAGUUCAGGGUUUUUCUUUGUAGCCCUGCUUGUUCUGAAACUUCCCUCUGUAGACCAGGCUGGCCCUAUGUGCUCUGAUUUAAGCCAUCAAUUGCCUCGACUGGCCAUAGGAAAUAGUUUUUAAUCAAUAGGCACCAUAUGGCUGAUUUGUUGAUGGAUUCUUCGGUGGAUGGAGGGAUGGGCGAGCCACUGGCCCACUGAUGUUUGCUGAAUCGUCUCCUCUAUUCCAGACUCCCAAGGACCUAAGAAAAAGGGAAAGAAUGGGGCCACAAAGACAGAUGAGGCUUCUCUGAGGGAGGAAAGUCAGGGAUGGAAGCCAUUCGAGCACAACAUGGUUUCUGCUCUGUUACAUCACGAACAUGUCAUUUAUUCUAAUGUCUGAAAAUGUAUCUUCCCAUCAGUGACACCUUGGGUUUGAGGCAGGCAGCUAUGCCCCCCCCCCGCCCCCCGGGGACAGUUAGUGGGGCAGGUUCAUGCUAUGACAUGCCUUCAUCACUCCACCUUUAAGACAAGUUCUGUUCUAGGCUGCUAAGGCGUCCAUUCAGAAGAGGGAUGGGGGCAGAUCUUUGCUGAGCUAUGACUAACACCAGGCAGGGCACCCAUGCUCACUCUCACACCAAGCAUUAAUGUGGUCCUUCAUACCCAUUUUACAGAGGGGGAGACAACAUUUCAAUAAUUCCCUCAUGGGAGGGGUUUGCAUUCCAGCCCAGGAAUUGGAUUCCCCCAUACCCUACAAUAGCAUGCACCCCCGCCCUGUUCUGUUAGAUUGACAGUGUCAGAACCUGCAAGGCUAGGGUUGGAACCAGAUGCCAAGGACCCACUCUCUGGCCUCCCACAGAUGGGCUGGUGUGGAGGGCCUGUUGCAAGCCCAGCCUCCUUGGGUUCGGGAUGAAUGCACACCCCUGUGAAGCUUUGGCCAGAUAGGUUCUGGUGCCCACAGAGCUAAUCAACCAGGAAGGUGCUCUAACUCACUGCAGCAGAGCUGCAUGCAAUACCAGUACAUGUGGAGGAGUGGGGGUGGCUAGGAAGGAGACAUGAUCCUCGCUGUAAACAUUUUGGUGCCCGAGUAGAUGGAUUGUCCAGUAAAGUGUUUGCUGCACAAGCAUCAGGACCCUGGAGGGCAGGAGUGGUGCGCAUGCGUGACCCCAGUGCAGAAAGGUGGAUUCCCUAGGGCUCUCAGCCGGUUAGGACUGAUGAGUCCAGAUCCAAGGAGACUCUGCUUUGAUCUAUAAGGUGGACAACCAGGGAGAAAGGUUCCCUACACUGACUUGUGCCGCCAGCACUCAUGUGCACUUAGACACACACAGACUUGGUACAUAUGGCACAGGGAACCUUCUGAGCUCUUCUUAGGUAACCAUGUGAGCUCAUGGAGGUGUCUUCCAUGCUUUGGCUGGAAGACAGCAUUCCACAGCUCUCUUCCCCAUCCUCCAGAUCUGAGGGCAUCAUUCUGAUGUUCUUUCUUCUGCAAAGUCCUGUUUCUUAAAUCUUGAAGAGGUUGAGUUUAGCCGAUUAUGCUGAGUACUUGAAAUCAUUUAUGCUCAGCCCUUUGACCAACUCUGAGACUCUGUAGCAAUCACUGUUCUCUGCAGACAGAAGCUUCUCUGACCAAGGCUGAGGGCAGCAGGGAUGUAUGUAUACAAACAGUAAUAUUCUGAAGCCUGCUUGAUACUGUGUCCAUUUAGCCAAACAACAGUAGGUUUUCCCAUAGAGCCUCUGAGUGCCCUGGUCCAUCCCUACAGAAAGCAGCUGGCUACCUCCACCGUGGCUGUGUCCCAGGGGCACAUCUUGCCUGACAGGUUGGUGCUCAGUUCUCAGGGUUCAAGAUCAAACUAAAGCUGCUGCUGCGUUCUCUCCCCAGAACCCUGUAUUAACACCUUUGGGUAUUGACUUUGAACCUCUGGGUCAGCAGGCCUAGUAGUUGGGAUUAGAAACAUGUUGCCUGGCUGGGCAAGAUUUUGACAACUUCAAGUAACUGCGGAUACUUUUGUUCAGUCAGUGUAACCACUCCAAACUUGGUCCCAAUUUGGUCCCUGUUACUGUAUCCCACACAGUACAAAGGACUGAAAACUCUAUUUGAAGAGCAUCUCCUCCAGGUCUAGCUCCUCCUGGGUCCGUUUCUCCUGGUGACUUUGGCCUCUUGUGAAAGGCUAGCCCUCUUUUAUAAUAAGCACAAGUAGAUUCCACACACAGGGUUCCAAAAGGAGCAAGCAGGCCAUUGGUACUCGACUCUAGUUGACAUUGUUUAGGCGGGGCUGAGAGUAGGUUUGCGAUUUACUUAUGUUUGCCCUUUCUUCUCUGUUGAGAAAAUUUUUUUUUUAAUGUUUAUAGGUGUUUUGUCUGUGUUUUAUGCCUAUCUGUGCAUCACUUAUAUGUCUGUGGAGACCAGAAAAGGGUAUCAGAUCCCUCAGGACUGGUGUUUAGACAAUUGUGAGCUGACGUGUGGGUGCUGGGAAUCGAACCAAGGUCCUCAGGGUUCUUAACCACUGAGCCAUGUCUCCAGCCUGAAAGUUUGCAUUUUAGAAGUGAUCUGGGGGAUGCCGAGCCUUUUUGGUCAGGGGGAAUGGUUCAGCAAUGAAGUCAUCUUCUGACUUCUGUGUGGUUUCCAGACCUUUCCUGGUCACUGUGUAGAUCAAAUCCAUUGUCACAGUUCAGUGGAAUAAUAGUUGAGGACUCCUGACUGGGUGCAAACCCUGCCAGCAUUGGUGGGAUAACAGUCCACACCUAAAUGAACACCAAGGUCCCCUUCCCUCUCCACAGCCACACCUGGGGCUAAAGCUACAUUCUCCAUUUUCCACUAAAGGAAACAUUGCAAAACCUGAGUCUGAGCUUCCUAAACUUGUCUGUUUUCAGAACUCUGUGAGUGUGUGUGUGUGUGUGAGUGUGUGUGUGUGUGUGUGUGUGUGUGUGUGUGUUGGGAGAAUCCUGGGAGGGGCCC
rnacentral:lncRNA from 1 species